UAUCCGUUAUAAUAAAAUAUAUUUUUAAAAAUGUAUAAAUAUGUAAAUAAAAAGAUGUUCAUCUGCUUGAACUUUCCCCACUGACUAUUUGUCUUUAGGUAUAGUGAUGGUGGAAGCUUCAGCUAUAUUGUUGUGGAGGACAUUAAAUUCUCUUUUAUAGGCAGAGACCCUCUGAAUGCCCGAUCAGUCCUUUCUGAGUCAGUUUUGUUGUUAACACACCAGGUAAAUCAGCCGGUAUACCGGAGGAUGACGGACUGCUCUGCAGAGGAUUUUUCUUUCCUCACCUGAUGCUAUCUGCUCAGCCUGGGAAGGUGAGGGUGGCGACAUAUUCAAGCCGGCACAGAGCCUGCUCCCAACAUCAAGCACUCACCUGGUUGGCUGGUCACGUGACUUCCGGUUGUCGCAGAGAUUCCUGUCACUACCUCAUUCCGCACACCUGAGCCGCUGUGAAGAAGAAGAAGAUGUUACCACCUGCUCAAGAAGACUCCUCCCUGCUGUUCGUCCUGUGCUGUGUGGUAGUGUGCAUGUUCAGCACUUGUGCUUGGGGUGGCCCUUUGAAGGAUUCCCUCACCUUGUUUCAGCCCACCUGUACCCUGUGUUCCCUGCAGAUGUUGCAGAUGUGCAGCAGGUGUUGGUGAUUUGAGAGAGAGUUCCUGUAAAUGGAGCCUGGACAAGCAGGACACAGAGCCUCUGCAUGAAAGACGAACCAAAGGAACAAUGGCCCAAUCAGGAUGGAGACCAGUUUAUGAUGGGCUGGUGGAGAGUAUCACCAGUUUACCAGCGAUGACGGCUCCUUUGAAGAGUGAAGAUGAAGAAGAACCUCAGACAAAGGUCUUUUAUUAGUCCCCCAGUGAUGCAGCUCAGCUUUAUUCAUCAUAAGUGUAGAAUAAAUUUCUGUAUUGUUCUUCA